UAGGGAAUCUUCGGCAAUGGGGGCAACCCUGACCGAGCAACGCCGCGUGAGUGAAGAAGGUUUUCGGAUCGUAAAGCUCUGUUGUAAGUCAAGAACGAGUGUGAGAGUGGAAAGUUCACACUGUGACGGUAGCUUACCAGAAAGGGACGGCUAACUACGUGCCAGCAGCCGCGGUAAUACGUAGGUCCCGAGCGUUGUCCGGAUUUAUUGGGCGUAAAGCGAGCGCAGGCGGUUUGAUAAGUCUGAAGUUAAAGGCUGUGGCUCAACCAUAGUUCGCUUUGGAAACUGUCAAACUUGAGUGCAGAAGGGGAGAGUGGAAUUCCAUGUGUAGCGGUGAAAUGCGUAGAUAUAUGGAGGAACACCGGUGGCGAAAGCGGCUCUCUGGUCUGUAACUGACGCUGAGGCUCGAAAGCGUGGGGAGCGAACAGGAUUAGAUACCCUGGUAGUCCACGCCGUAAACGAUGAGUGCUAGGUGUUGGAUCCUUUCCGGGANUUCAGUGCCGCAGCUAACGCAUUAAGCACUCCGCCUGGGGAGUACGACCGCAAGGUUG
rnacentral:rRNA from 1 species